rnacentral:lncRNA from 1 species
AGUCACAGUCACAGGCAGGGCUGGGGCUCAAUUUGUCAUCCUCCCGGGCUGGACCCCAAGAACAGAAAGAGUGGGUGGUCAGCUACAUGGUGUGACUUGAGGGGCUUCAAAAGUCCUGCUGAACCCCAAACUAUCUCCCCGACUGCCCUGAGUUUCUGUCUGAAGUUUCCAUCAUUUGAGUCAUUUCUUUGUGCUAAGAAUUUGCUUCCAGAAGUUGCCUGCUAAAAUGUACACGCUGCCUGGGCGCGGUGUGUGUCUUUAUGUGAGUGGGUGUUGCGCUCCUCCCUGCGUGUGGACUCACUGGAGAAUGUUGUGGUCAGGGGCUUUCUUCACGCUAUGGGGUGCUGUUCCACCACAGCUGCUGCAGUCGUGGGUCACACCUCUGCAAUUCCCUGUGGCCCCGCUGAAGUGAUGUAGAAGGACCAUAUGGCCAUCCCAGAAAAGCUUACCAUGUCCACUUUCUUUUUCUUUUUUUUUUUUUUGAUACGGAGUCUUGCUCUGUCGCCCAGGCUGGAGUGCAGUGGCGCGAUCUCAGCUCACUGCAACCUCGGCCUCCCUGGUUCAAGCGAUUCGCCUGCCUCAGCCUCCUGAGUAGCUGAGAUCACAGGUGCCCGUCACCAUGCCUGGCUAAUUUUUGUAUUUUUAGUAGAGACGGGCUUU